CUGUGUGUAGAUUGGUGUGUGAGGUGAGAAACGACCUGUUCAAGGCCACACACCUGACUGCAGCUGUCGACAGUUACCGUGUGACCGUGUGUGUGAUGCUGAAGAAACAGGCUAAGUGUCGAGGAAUAUCCAUAAACAUGAAUUAGAAAGAUGUGAGAGCUUAUUGGAGCUGACUGAUUCAUUUACACAACUGCCUAAACUUGUACUCGACUAAUUAAGGUUGUGUGGGGGAGAGAGCGAGAGGCUGUGUACAUGAAGCGUUGGGAAGUGCCUGGUUUUGCCACUUGCGAGGACUGCUACUGGUGUGGAUUGCCACUUGCGAGGACUGCCACUGGUGUGGAUUGCCACUUGCCAGGACUGCCACUGGUGUGGAUUGCCACUUUCGAGGACUGCCACUGGUGUGGAUUGCCACUUGCGAGGACUGCCACUGGUGUGGAUUGCCACUUGCGAGGACUGCCACUGGUGUGGAUUGCCACUUGCGAGGACUGCUACUGGUGUGGAUUGCCACUUGCCAGGACUGCCACUGGUGUGGAAUGCCACUUGCCAGGACUGCUACUGGUGUGGAUUGCCACUUGCGAGGACUGUCUGCCUCUGCCGUACUUUCCAACGGACCAACCGCCAUGAGGAUAAGGCUUCAGAUGACGGUAGAGAGGUCCCAGUGGACGGAGGAACACGGUUCUCUGGAUUUAUGGUUCAUGAGGCCAUUCAAUCAGAUGCGUGCAUGAAGAACAUCUUGAUGUGACUCCGUGUCUCAAGUACUCCUCAGACUCAGCGAGUAGUCAAGCGUCGAGACUUUAGUGACCAAGUUGUUUAUCAGUUCUUCUUCUCAUCCGUGAAGACAUAGUCUGCGGUACAAAUGGGCAGUGCAAGCAUCAGCAGGAAUAUAUGAAUCACGCUCAUGCUGACUUUGUACGUUAGGAAACAUGGUACUUGGGAACGCUGAUGGCAACCACAUCAAACGAAGAGGAACCCCAGACGAUGGCAGCAGAUUGGAAAUAAUGGGAACAUGCCAAGGCGCAGAAACCGGAGCUGGCUCAGUGAACCUCAAUUAGGACAUUUAUAUACAUUUGAUUUAUAAAUGUGCCGAGGAUGACUGCCACGAGAACUGACCAGUUGUUUUAUACAUGGAUGAUUGAGGGAAGUGUGCAAGCCCAUGAUGACUGGCUAAGAGGAUUGGCUCCAGUUUACGAAGGUACACCUAAGAAGGAAACGGGUAUGUAGGGUAGAAAUCAUUCACCCAGACAUGGCAGGAGAGGCGUGAAAGGGUAAGUGUGUGGGUAUGUUGAUUGCUCACAUUACAUGACUUACGUUUGUCUGGAGCAUUCAAAUGUUCGUAUUACAAACGGUACUAGCCUGUUUUUUAAAGAGCUUAUUAUUAUUAAAACUAGCCCUCCAAUUUAAAUAUUUUAUAUUAUUUCAAAACACGUGCACACUUUCAUACCUAACACGCUUUAAACAUGUUAUUGAAUUGUCUUAGGGAACUGUACCUUUCCUCUAUUCAUUUUAUUUAGGCAACGAUAUUUUUCCAAAUGCAAGAGGGGAGGUGGAAUGAAAUGUAUCAGGAGAAAACACCCAGCGAAAGCACCAGUAGCACUCGCAGGGGUCAGACUAGGGAUGGAAUGGGAUUACAGAUGAAAAACAAUGCUGUCCAAUCAAAUUUUGAUUGUGGGGGGGAUUGAACGAUUAGCUACAUGAAGCGAGACGGGCUGGACGCUAGAAGAGCAAACUGGUUAGAGAGGUCUUUUUCCUAUGUUGUCUCUGUGUUAAAACAGUCUUGCUCCAGACAAAGGGAGAAGACUCAAUUUCAAUCGUCCCAGAGACAUUAAACAAUUGGGAGUGUAAUGGAUCCCAAAUGUCUUUGACCAUGAACAUAGUGUUUUUAUGCAAGUCACCCAUUAUUGUCGAUAUCGCUUAGAAAAAUGUUAACGGGACAUGCAGGCUAUGUUUCAAUUAGCCUCAACCCUAGGCCUUCAAGUUUGUAUGUAGAGAGUCUGUGCCCUUUAACCCUGGCAUAUGGUAUUCCUGUCAUUUUAAGGUCAACUCCUGCAUACCUUACGUUGUUAAAUGAAGUCAUAAGCUAUUUAGGUGCUUUAUUUCCAGGAAAUUUAUUUUACAACCUACCAGGAUUGCUGUUCAUGUAAGCAACAGAAUAUUGUACAUAACUAAUAAAGGCAGAACUACAAUUCUAAAUUUGCAUGGUACUGACUACCCACACCUGGCCUCUUUCACAAAAGUUGCGAGUGUACGCUCAAGCAGUGCUUGCCAUAACAAUUGCACGAUCUCCUGUGAUAAACAAUUCCCUGUCAUUGGUAAUGGAAAUGUUAAUAACCUCGUCAGUGUAUGAAAUGAUACUUUAUGACGGUAGUUAUAACACGUCACAGUAGUAAAUAAGGUUAACAUAAUGCAAGCGUUUAUUUGUUCUUAUUUAGGGUGUAGGUAAACUAUCAGACAUGCUCCAAAAGUAGAUCAGCCAAAAUGUGUGUACGAUCUACUUUAAUUCGUAUUGUGAAAUGGAAAAUAAAAUACACCGACAUCUG